AACAUAUAAUGAUGAUUUUGCAUUAAUUGUGACAAGAAUCACGUCUAAACUUUUUGGGCCAUUAAAUGUUGACGUCAUUUAGUUUUUAAAGGAAAAAAUCUCCCUUCUAACUGUACAGCCGCACUCCUCAAAGUGAAACAAAAAUAUCUCCAACUAAACCGGAACAGUGUACCUAACUAAACCUGACUAACUAAACCGUACAUUCAAUAGUUUCUCAACUGUAGCAGCAAAGGUAAAAUGGUCAAAUUUUAGCUGAAAAGACAAAACGUAAAAACCACAUUUGAUUUUGCCAACCCCUGAAAAUAAAACAUGGUCAAAGGGUGUGACAUGCAAAUUACCCUAAUUUUUAAUGCAGACUUUAUCAUUUACACAGUUGACUUGUAUAUAUUUUUGGAAA
rnacentral:sRNA from 1 species